GUAUUUCUAGCUCAGCUGGUAGAGCAUGAGACUUAAUCUCAGGGUUGUGGGUUUGAGCCCCCUGUUGGGCA